UGAGCAUGAACCAAGGUAAAAAAUAAUGCGACAGUAUAAAUCAGUAGUCAACUGUUUAACGGGAGGCAAAUGGGAUGAAAAAUCAAAAGCGUAUAAGACAUGUGGAAGGAUCAUGGACUGAGAAAGUUUCACAUCUCCAUAACCCAAUAUAGGAGACAUUCUACCAUCUGUAAUUUUGACAUGACAUGGCUAAGAGAAUCUAUGCAAAGUGGUGAAAGAACCAGGUCUACUGCAGACAUGUCUCGAUGCACCUGAGUCAAUAAUCCAAGAGAUACCUGAAUCAGUCAUGGAUGUACCCAUAGAGUGGACUCUAUCAGUCAAACCUGUGGAUGAAGCCUGUGAGGCUUUCUAUGUCAUACUCAGAUUUGUCAAUGCUAACUAUAAUUGUCUCUAGUACUGAACUAGAAGAGUUGUCUUCUGUAGGAGAGGCUACAUAUGCAGAGCCCAUAGGAGGAUGAGCAACACUCUUGCCCUGAUUGGUCACGAUACCCCUGCCCAGUGAUAUAGUGGGUGGAUGACCAUUGUUAGAAUACAAUGUAUAGGGAACCGGAUCCGGAUAUGGACCCGGUACCCAUGGGCAUGGGAACCGAGGACGUGCUCGGUUCCCUAAGCGGGUCUCUCUUCCUCCCUCGUUUUAUUCUAUCAUUUAUUGUAAUUGUUGAUUAAGUGAAUAGAGUUUUCUCCCUCCUAGGGUUGCGGUUUUGCCCCUAGGUUAGAGCUUCCUCGUGGUUUUUCACCUCGUUCCGAGGUUUUCUACGUAUAUCCUGUGAUGGCUUUUCUUCUCCCCUUUUUACUGCGUGUUUCUACAUGGUAUGAGAGCCAAAAUCCUGCUGUUUGGCUUCUUUGUUCGUAUGUGAUUUAGGGUUUUUCUUGGAACCCUAAGUCUGAACCCUUGUUCCGCCACCGACGCAACCGCCGCGACGCAGCCCGCCGACGCAUUCCCGCCCGCCGUCGCCUGGUGUGCCGCCGCCUGGCCCCUUUUUUCCCGCCGUCGCCUGGUUUUCUCCCACCGCCGGCACCUGGUUUUUUCCCGCUGCCGUCGCUUGGUUUUUCCCGCCGCCGCCGCCUGGUCUUUUCCCGCCGUCGCCUGGCCUUUCUUCCGUCGUCGCCUGGACUGCCAUCGCAGCUUGCUAUUCUGCCGCUGCUCGUCCUCGCCCUGUGCUUUUUUUGGUAUACUUUGACUGUUGGAUUUCUGUUGUGGUUGUUAUGGCUGAAGAGAUGCCCUCCAAGACCGAUGUUACCUUUGACACGGGCAGCAAUACCAAGAGCAAAAACUUGCCUGUUCAAGUCACCUCUAUUCGGCUGAACAAAGGCAAUUAUCUCUCUUGGUCUGCUGCGCUUAAAAUUGGGAUCACUAGUCGCGGUCGUCUGCCCUAUAUCACUGGGGAGAAACCUGCGCCUAGUAAAACUGAUCCUGGAUGGGCGACUUGGGCGUUGGAAGAUAGUCAAGUUAAGGUUUGGAUUAUUAGUCCUGUUUCUGUUGAUAUUCAGCCCCUUAUUUUGCAUAAGUUGACCUCAUAUGACAUGUGGACUGUGCUUGCGAGGAUGUAUGGCCGUAAAAAGAGAGUCCUGCGUACUUACCAGAUUAAACGCAACAUCUAUUCUCUUAAACAGGGUGACUUGUCUAUGGCAUCUUUCUAUGCAGCCCUGAAGACUAAAUGGGAGGAACUGGAUUAUCAUGUGAAUGAUGACUGGAAUUGUGGUUCUGAUCAUGAACUGUACUGGCAGAAAGAAUGGAUGGACCGCACUUUUAUUUUUCUAGGAGGUCUGCGUGAUGAGUUUGAAUCCAUUAAGAGUCAAAUUCUCAAUUGUGAUGAGACCCCUGGGAUUGAGGAGGUGUAUGCCCGGGUGGAAUCUGAGGAACAACGCCGUCAAGUGAUGCAUAUUGACUCUAGUCAUGGUAGUUCACCCUCUGCUUUUGUUAGCCGUGCUCCAGGGACUGGGCAGCGUACUAUCUGGCGGUGCAGUCAUUGUAACAAGUUGGAGCACUCUGUUGAUUUUUGUUGGGAUCUUCAUCCUGAAAAGAGGCUCACCCGUGGUCGCCCUUCCUCUGGUAGGCGGGGUCCUCCUGUGCCCGAUACUAGCUCUCUCAGUGUUGACAAACCGAAGUUUUCUUCUGAUCAACUAAAGGAAUUACAAGCUUACAUUAGCCGAUUAUCUACUACUAAGGAGGAAGCCUCCACGUUUGAGGGAGCUCAGUUAGCCCAAGCUCUCGUUGCCACAAGUGAUCAAGGUAAUUCCUUACUUGGUGAUUGGGUUGUGGACAGUGAGCUACUCAUCAUAUGACAGGGAACCCUAAGAUGUUUCAAGAGUACAAAUUGUCUUCAGGGCAGCAACGAGUCUCCAUGGCUGAUGGGUCCUCGAUCUCUGUGGCUGGAAAAGAGAGUUUGUCCUUAUUAAAUAAAUAUAUUCUGCAUAAUGCUCUUCAUGUUCUCAACAUUCAUGUGAAUUUGUUAUCUGUCAGUAGUAUCACCAAAGAACUCAAUUGUAAUCUAAUUUUCUCUGCUGAUCAUUGUACCCUGCAGGACUUGGUGACGGGGAAGAAGAUUGGGAUUGGUUCGGUUAUUGAUGGCCUCUACAGACUGCCCGUUCAGGUUGCUUCUACUCUCAUCUCAGCCACUAGCAGACAGUUGACGGGCGUGGAGGACAGGUCUAGCAUUAUGACAUGGCGCGAGCGCCUUGGACAUCUCCCAUUCCGGUUGAUUAAGAAGUUGUUUCCUAGGUUGUCUACUUCUGUUUCCAUGAACUCCUUCACAUGUGAAGUGUGUCAGCUUGCUAAGCAUGUUAGGGCUUCGUACCCUAUUUCUAUCAAUAAAACCACUCGUCCUUCUGCCUUGGUUCACUCUAAUGUUUGGGGUCCUUCGGAAGUACCCACUUGUCGUGGUUUCCAUUACUUUAUGACUCUGAUUGAUGACUACUCCCGUUGUACGUUCGUGUACUUGUUGAAAGAACGCAGUGACGUUCCUGUCGUUGUCAAAAACUUUGUUGCCUCUGUCGAAAAUCAAUUUCAGACCUCUGUUCAGACGUUCAGACUUUACGUACUGAUAAUGCCAGGGAGUAUGUCUCUCAAUCCCUAGAUGACUUCCUACGGGGCAAGGGUAUUGUCCAUGAGACGUCCUGCAGUUAUACUCCUCCUCAAAAUGGCGUGGCAGAACGUAAAAAAUCGCCAUUUAUUAGAUGUCACUCGAGCUAUUAUGUUCCUAAGCGCUACUGGGGCGAUGCUCUCCUCACUAGUGCCCACCUCAUCAACCGUAUGCCUACUCGUGUGUUGAAUGGCCGUACUCCUUACUCUGUGCUCAGUCCCACUCAUAACCCCUGGCCUCUUACUCCUCGGGUGUUCGGGUGUGUUUGCUUUGUUCAUAACCAUAGUCCCACCAUCAAGAAACUUGACCCUCGGUCUGUCAAAGCUGUCUUCUUGGGGUAUUCCUCCACUCAGAAGGGAUAUAAAUGUAUUGACCCUACUACCUCCAAAAUCUAUGUCUCUCGGGAUGUUACCUUUCAUGAACAUGCAGCGUAUUUUCCUACGAAUCCUCUUCAGGGGGAGUGUAUAGGGGACAGUGUGGAAGAGUAUUCUCCAAAUCAGCUUAUUCAGUUUACGGACUUCUUGGACUGCAGACCAAUGUUGUACGUAUCGUACGAUACGACCCCGUAUCGUACGAUACGUAUCGUCUCGUUUGAAAAAAACGGUACGAUACACCCCCCGUAUCGUAAAAAGGGGGUGUAUCGGCCCUGUAUCGCAUGUAUCGUACGAUACAGGGCCUGUAUCGUACGAUACGGCCUAAAAUUGCAAAAGGGGGCCCGAGACCUACUUAUUCGGCUUCUUUUUCAAAUUUUUCUUCCGUUCUUCAUUUCUAACGCUUGGAUAGUGCCGUGAGGGAGGGUGAUCGUUCAUUUUCACCGUGAAAAACUUGAUUUUCAUCGUCAAAUCGAAGAUUAAGUGGUCGAUUUGUGCGUGGGUGCUUGAUUUUCGUGGGAAGGAAAGGGGUUUUCUUCAUUUCAGACAUUUCUUCUUCGUAAGGUAUGAAAUCUCAUGUUCUUACCAUGUAUUCUUAAUUUUUUACCGUAUAAUCGUAGAUUGGAAGACUUUGAGUGUUUUUCAUUAAGUUUACCAUAGGAUUUCGUUUUUUUUUUUUUUGAAGAUAUGGAUCCUACAUGGCAAUGGUGCGAAAGGGUGAAGGAGAAUAACCGUUUGAAACUCAAAUGUGGCUUCUGUGGGAAUACACUUUCAGGAGGGAUUAUUAGAAUGAAACACCAUUUGGCAGGGACCUCCAAAGAUGCGUCUCCUUGUGUUGGAGGACCAAACAAACUUUUGCCUCCAUUUGUGCGUCAACAAUGUUUAGAUAUGUUUCAUGCUUUACGUCAAAAGAGAAUACAAAAAGAAAUUAAAGAUGCAGAUGUAGGCUAUAAUGUGCCUUUGGAAGAUGAAGAAGAAGAGGAAGAAGCUUAUGAAUGUGAUGAUGAGGACGAUAGUAGUCUAAGAACAAAUUUGGAGACCUCAAGAGGUAGAGAUCGUAGAGGAAAAGGGAUUAUGUAUGAAGGAGGUCGAUCUGGCAUAACGGGAAGGAAGAGGAGAGGCACAACAGAUGUUAGGGCCAGGCGUGGUAUGCAACCACCUAGUGGUAGAGUUCCUACUGGUAGGUCUAGUGUUGGCUCUAUUAAGAGUUUUUUCCCUUCAUAUACCAGCCCAGGUGGUCAGCCGCAGAUUCGUGCUACUAUGACAUCUAAAGAUAUGCUAUAUCAUGCACAAAAGCAGGUAGGGAAAUGGUUUUAUGAUGCAUGUAUUCCAUUUAAUGCAGCUAAUUCUUUUCAAUUCCAAGCCAUGGCAGAUGCAAUUGCUUCUAUAGGCCCCGGAUUCAAAAUGCCAUCAGAUCAUCAGUUGAGGGGCAAAAUUCUUCAGGACACAGUCAAAGAAGUGUCUGAGCAUUGCGAUGAGUUGAAAUUAUGUUGGAAGGAAACAGGUUGCUCCAUUAUGUCAGAUGAUUGGACUGAUACAAGGUCAAGAACACUUGUAAAUUUUCUUGUUUAUUGCCCUAAAGGUACAAUGUUCUUGAAAUCUCUUGACUUGUCUGAUGUUCCUAAGACUGCUGAGAUUUUAUUCAAUGUUUUUUAUAAUGUCGUACAAGAAGUUGGACCUGCAAACAUUGUACAGUUUAUUACAGAUAAUGCUGCAAAUUAUAGAGUUGCAGGAGAUUUGUCGUACAAGAAGUUGGAUCUUGUCUAAUGCUUCAAGAUCUUAAUGAGAUGCAUGAUAUGAAAUCAGCCAUUGACCAAUGUCAAGAGGUAACAAAAUUUAUCUAUAAUCAUGCAUAUGUAUUGAGUUUGAUGAGAAAAUUUACAAAAAGAGUUGAAUUAAUACGACCUGCACAAACUAGAUUUGCCACAAAUGUAUUGACUGUGCAGAGUGUGGUGAAACAAAGAACUCCUUUGAGACAGAUGUUUGCUAAUGAAGAAUGGGCUGCAUAUCCACAUGCUCAUAAAAGAAAUGUUUCUUUAGUUGUGGAUAUUAUAUUCAAUAACGUAUUUUGAGAAUCAUGUGUGAAGCUAUUGAAGGUUUGUGUUCCAUUAGUUAAGGUUCUCAGGUUGGCUGACAGCGAGGACAGACCUUCCAUAGGGUACUUAUAUGAGGCUAUGGACAAAGCAAAAGAGGCAAUUCGAGACAACUUAAAGGAAAAGAAAAAGUUAUAUAUGCCCAUAUGGAAGAUUAUAGAUAAAAGGUGAACUGGACAACUUCAUCAACCUCUUCAUGCAGCAGCUUAUUAUCUAAAUCCUGCAAUUAGAUUUUCUCCUACAUUUAAUAAGAAGGUCAGAGAAGUCAUGCAUGGUUUGUUAGAUUGUAUUAAUGUGUUAGUGGAAGAUUAUACAAAACAAGAUGUUGUGCACAAUGAGUUGGAUCUAUAUGAUAGUUGUUUUCAGAACAUGGGACUACCUGCCACCGUUCGAGCCAGGACAACGAUGCGUCCAGGUAAAUACAUAGAAAUUUUUAAUUUACUUUGCAUUUGUUACAUUUGAUUCUUUCAAAACUUUCACAUUGAUUUGUUAUAUUUUUGUUUAGAUUUGUGGUGGAAUAGGUAUGGGUUUGAUUGUCCAAACCUAGCACGUUUUGCAGUCAAAGUCCUCAGCCAGACAUGCAGUGCUAGUGGAUGCGAAAGGAACUGGAGUGUGUUCCAACAUAUCCAUAGCAAAAAAAGGAAUAGGCUCGAACAUAAAAGGUUGAAUGACCUUGUCUUUGUUCGAUAUAAUAUGAGGUUGAAACAAAGAGAAUUAGAAAAAUCAUUAGCAAGGAAGCACACAUCUCAGUUCGAUCCUAUCAGCUUGGAAAAUUUUGAUGAUCUAGAGCCAUGGAUUGAAGAAGAACUAGCUACAAUAUUUGAUGAUGAAGAUCUUGAAUGCUUCAACCUUGAAGCUGAAGCAACAGAAGGCUUUGUUGAUGAAAGAGAGUCUGCUACUGCUGGUGCUGGUGCUGAAUAUGUUGGUGAAGAUCUUCCAAUUCUUGACGAUGAAGAAGAAGAAGAAGAUGAAGAUGAAGAUGAUGAAGAUUAUGAAUGAUGAAUCAUGAAUGAGAGUCAAGUCAAGAGUGCUUUCAUUUUAUAUGUAUCAAAAACUUAAGAGUUAUGAAUCUAUGGUUGUUGAACACUUGAUUGAAUGUUUUAUGACUUUAUCACUUUAUGGCUUAUGGCCUUAUGCUUUGUUGAAUGAUAUUGUAUUAUUGUUAUGAAUUUUGAUGUUUAUGAAUGAUGAACGUGUAAGUUUAUAGCAAUAAUAAGUCUAUCAUUAUCUCAAACACGUUUUCUAUGAACAAUUUAUUAUUUUUAAUUUUUUCUGAUUUUUUAUGAAUUUUCCGAAUUUUUUUAAAUUUUUUCUGAUUUAUUAAUAAUUUUUUUAAAAAAAUUACGAUACGGUUACGAUACGGCGUAUCUUAAAGCCCGACCGAUACGGCUUACGAUACGCGUUUUACAACAUUGCUACAGACUUAGUCACAGUGUGGAAGAUAUAGUCAGAGAUCAUAAAGACAGUCAUGUGGAAGAAGAUACAGUCAGAGAUGAUAAAGACAGUCAUGUGGAAGGGGGCCCUGUGGUUGAUCAGCCCACAUCCCGUGAUCAGCCCACACAGCCACCUCCCACAGGCCUCUCAUCUCUUAUCCUUUCGUUUUCUUUUUUAUCAUUAUCAUUACUCAUUCACAAGAUGACUGGCUAGCACAUGAGGUUAAUACACCCUACGAGUGCACUUACACCUCCCAAUGCCUCCACACGAGGUCUAUACAUACAGUAACAGUCAUUGCUAGCCGUCAUACAGUACGGGUACAACUACCCUCUAUUUCAUCCAUUUGCAUCGUUGCCCAUGGCAAUGCAUAUGCAACAACGUACACAUUCAUAUCAAUCAUCACAUCAAUCCUCACAUCAAUCACGUCAAUCACCUCUUUGAAAAACUUGGCCAAUCCACAGAGAGUAGUCUCGAUUUGCGGUUGGCUCGUAGCUGUCCUAUGCAGUUAUCAUUCUAUGAUGCUUUCUAAUGCACAAUUGGGGUCGAGAGACACUCGACUCGAUACCCCGCCUCAUCUGUUCUAAACAGAUAUCAAUUCUAGCAUGCACAUGCCAAUGCGUAACAUUUUUAAAACAAAUGACCAAUAAUCUUUCUAACCCAUUCAUAUCAUAUAAGCAACAUACUUAUACUCAUUCACAAAGCAGCCAAUCAAUUAACAUCACAAUCCUAGGAUCCUAGGAGCACACAAUCACACAUUUGCCCCAGGCAGGGAUUUGCCUGGAAUGUC